UACGAAGGGGGCUAGCGUUGUUCGGAAUUACUGGGCGUAAAGCGCGUGUAGGCGGGUCUUUAAGUCAGGGGUGAAAUGCCAAGGCUCAACCUUGGAACUGCCUUUGAUACUGGAGACCUUGAGUCCGGGAGAGGUGAGUGGAAUUGCGAGUGUAGAGGUGAAAUUCGUAGAUAUUCGCAAGAACACCAGUGGCGAAGGCGGCUCACUGGCCCGGAACUGACGCUGAGACGCGAAAGCGUGGGGAUCAAACAGG
rnacentral:rRNA from 1 species